rnacentral:ncRNA from 1 species
GCUGGUGCUUUCAGAUAGAUUCAGGGCAACCUGGGCGGCUGGCGGUGGAUUGCAAACACCGGGAGCCGUCUACAUA